GGAGAAGCCAGCUGCCAGGUCAUGAGGUUACCCAAGCAGCCCUGUGGAGGCACUCUUAUGGUGCUGUUACUGUUGGCCCAAGAACACAUUUUGAGAAGACUGGCCUAGAGGAACCAAUAAUGUGGGUUUCUUAUGGGCAGGAUGGCACUGGAGAAGAGGGGAAACUAACACUAAAUUAGCAUGAAGAGCAUACGCCUGUGAUCUCAGCUAUUCGGGAUGCAGAGGCAGGAGGAUCACAUGAGCUCAGAAGCUCAAGCCCAGCCUGGGCAACGUAGAAAGACACAGACUAAAAAAGAAAAAAAGGGAAGAAAAAAAAAGACGGAAAAAAAUUAGCAUGAACAAUUCAAGGGAGACAAGAGAACU